GGAGAGGAGAGGCACACACCUGGCUGGAGAAUGUUGAUCAAAUAGGCUUGAUUUGGUGUAGAGGGCACGACAGGGGACCCCAGAGGAAGCAAGAGCAAGAACAGAGGAUGAGCUCAAACAGCACCUGAGAGAGAGGCCAGGACUCCGAGAGAGGAAAGAAUUUGAGGCACGAGGAGGGGAAGCAAAUGAGCUGCCAAGGGUCACACAGCUAGUAAGUGGUGGUGCCAGGAUUCAAAUCCACAACAGAGUCAACGGAGCAUCUGCCCGUGCGGGCCAACAGCUCUAAUUGCAACAUGAAGAAAGGCUCUGGCUUUUGAGGAGGGCCCACCCUAUCCCCAGGCGUUUCUCUCACUCAGAGUUGACACGGCCCCUGGGGAGGCACUGGCAUUUGGAGCAGGGAGUGAGAUCAUCUACCCUGGGCUUUAAGCACUGAGAAAGAAAAAAAGUCAGGAAGAAAGGCAAUACUGCAGAAAAUUCAUGAAAAAUAGCCAGCC
rnacentral:lncRNA from 1 species